AUAGUAGUACAUGAAGCCAUCACAUUAAGUUAUAUUUUGAAUUAAAUUGGAAGUUUUCUGAUUAAAGAACAUGCCAGAACUCCUGUUUUUCACAUCUUGCCAAAAAUACAUAAGGAAGGUUUUCCACCACCAGAAAGACCCAUCAUAUCUGGUAUCUGGUACUCCAUAUUGGAGCCAUUGGCACAAUAUUUAGACUCUUUUUUUUUUUUACAACUGUUUAUAGAGACCAGUCAAUCUUACAUUAAAGAUAUCAAACAUUUUGUUAGCAUUAUAGAGAAGAUUCAAUGUUUGGAAGACAUCAUAUUUAUCACUUUGGAUGUUAAUUCUCUGUAUACUUCCAUUCCCCAUGAAGGAGCAAGAUCAGUGAUAGAAAUUGUUUGUAACUCAAUUGUUUGUAACAUCCCCUGACUAAUUUUCUAAUAGAUAUUAAGUUAGAAAACAAAUAUUUUCAGUUUGAUGACAUAUAUUAUUUUCAGGUUAAAGGGGUAUCUAUGGGGAGCCCUGCAGUUCCCAGUUUUGCAUGGGAAUUUAUACAUGACUCAUCUGGAAACAGAUAUCAUUUUAAAUGGGGAUGCAAAUCCAUAUCUUCAACAUUUUCUAUAUUAUGGCCAUUCAUUGAUAAUAUUUUAAUUAUUUCUAAACCACACUGUCUAUUAUCAAUAUUUUUUAGAUCAAUACUAUACUGGAUUUUUUGGAUCAAUAUUGGAUCAAUACUAUAUAUGAACAUAGUAAGUUUUCCAGCCAUAUGGACACACAUUGGAUAUCCUUUUUGGAUGUAUUGGUAUAUAAAGGUAAAAGGUAAAGUUGUGCCUUUGAGUAGGUAUUAACAGUCAAAAUCAUGACAAAAAGAUAUCACAAACCUACAGACAGGAAUUCAGUUUUACAUUAUGAUUAUUUUCUCCCAAGACAUAUUAAAGACAAUAUACCAUUUGGUCAAUUUGCGAGACUGAAAAGGAAUUGCACAUCUUCUCAAUUGUUUCACCAACAAAGAGCUGUAUAUGCAUCCUCAUUAACAUCUAGAGGCUAUCCUAAGCAUGUCAUAGAGACAGCAAAGAAACCAUCAGAUGAAGUCUCCAGAUCCCAACUCUUUGAAAAACACCACGAUGACAAACGUAAGAGAGUUUAUUGGUCUCUUUAAUUUAGCUCCAAAGCUUGGGCCAUUAGACGAAUUAUUUUCAAACAUUGGCAUCUGAUUCAAGAUCUACCUGGGUGCACUUUACUUCAAUUUGUUGGAUAUCGUCGUUGUAACGAAUAGCCAUAACUCUUUCUUAUCUAUCUAUCUAUCUAUCUAUCUAUCUAUCUAUCUAUCUAUCUAUCUAAACUUCUAUACCGCCCAAAUUAUCAUCUCUGGGCAGUUAACAUAAAAACAAUUAAAACACAUAUAAAAGUUAAAACAAUGCAACAAUUUAAAAACAGCCAUAAAAUUAAAAAUAGACAAUUUUAAAAAGCUGGGAAAGCUUGGGUGAAAAGAUGGGUUUUCAGGUGUUUUUUAAAAAUUGCCAGAGAUGAGGAGGAUUGUAUCUCAGCAGGGAGCACAUUCCACAAUCUCAGGGCAGUGACCAAGAAGGCCCGUCUCUGUGUAGCCACCAAACGAGUUGGUGGUAACUGGAGACGGACUUCCUCAGAUACAGCUUAAAAGAUCCGUUAGUCCAUUCAGAUAUAUCUAGGACUCAAAUUAUUACUACAGAUGUAAGGGGACAUUGGAGAUGUGGACAUUGCGAAUGCCGUCACGAAUGCUUACCAACAAAAGAAUUCAUCAAUCCAGCUAAUGACAAGAAAAUUAUACUCAAGACUUUUACUACGUGUCAAUCCACAGAUGUUCUUUAUGCUAUUGUCUGUCCCUGUGGUCUUUUUUAAUGUAGGUCAUACUAGUAGACCUCUGACAGAACAUAAGAGUAAAAUUAACAUAACACCUUCCAUUGAAAUUCCCACUAUUGCAUCUCUAUUGUUCUGUUAAAAUUCUGCAUCCAUUUUAUCAUACAGUCUUUCACACGUUCUGAUUCUGAAUAAUGUUUCAGUAGUAAUUUGUAUAUAAGACCCAGCAAAUGCUUUGAAUUCUUUGUUAUUAGAGUUUCAAAUUCUGUCAAGUCUCAACUUUCCACCUUGCUUCCGCGGUUUCAUGUAGAUAUUAAAAGAACAUUGGAGACAGUAUGGAGCCUUGUGGAACUCCAUACUUCAGUUCUCGCUUUGCAGAGCAACAUUCUCCAAGGAACACCAUCUGGAAUCUACAAGAGAGAAUGGACAUACGGUGGAAGAAGACUUGUGGACUCCCAUGAAAAAGGAUCUAUUAUUCAGCAAGAAAUAUAAAGACGUUAUGAAGAACAAUUUGAACUUGAAAAAGUCUAUCGAAACAGCAAACAUAACUGGAAAGCUGUUGUUUACACACUCUGUCUGGAAAUAUUAUACUGUUCUAUUCUAUGUUCACAUUUAUAUUGUUGGUUGGAUGUUAUGUCUUAUUUACUCAUGUGAAUUAUUCAUACUAUACAUUUAUGUUUCACCUUGAAUUUGUAUUUAUAUAUUUAGUUAUAUGGGGUUUUUUUUGUCAUAUUGGAUCUGUUGGUUUAUUUUUACAUGUUGCUAGUAUCUGCCUUAUGUAAGUUUUUAGAUGGUGAGCCUUUGGGGGACAUGAGACCAUUUUAUUUACAUAUGUUUCUAUGUAAACUGCUUUGAGAACUUUGAAGAGCGGUAUAUAGAUAUUUGUUGUUGUUGUUGUGGAACCCCCAGAAGUGCCCCCUACUCCCCCACCUGUACCAAAGCCCUGACACCAGUGUUCCCUCUUAGGUGUGCAUGCACACAUGUGUUUUGAUGUGCGCUCAGUUAAUUUUAGAUUCUGCUCAGGUUUAAGCAGGAAGGUCCCACUCUGAAUGCAUAUGUGCACACACUGCCUUGGUACUUCUGCCCAGAACAAAACUCAUUCCACACACAGAAGAAAAGAAUUAGAGAGAACAACAUAGCUGCAAGUAGCUGGGCAACAACAGAAAAACUGUAGGGAAGGAGUCCAAAAGAAUAAAUUGGCCCCAGCCACCAAAGGCUGGCUCCCUUAGUUGGUUCCCUGCGCCCCUGGUGCUGCCCACCCUAAUAAGGGCCAGGAGUUCAAAAGCUCAACUGGUGUGGCUCUCACCCUCACCAAUCAGAAAGUCCAGCCCAGGUGCAAGGUAACACAAUUGGGGUGAGCUGAGCCACAGAUAGCAAGCAGCUUAUAUAGAGGAAGCUUCCGUAUAUUGAGUCAGACCAUUGGUCUAUCUAGCUCAGUAUUGUCUUCACAGACUGGAGGCGGCUUCUCCAAGGUUGCAGGCAGGAAUCUCUCUCAGCUCUGCCUUGGAGAAGCCAGGGAGGGAACUUGAAACCUUCUGCUCUUCCCAGAGGGACUCCAUCCCCUGAGAGGAAUAUCUUACAGUGCUCACACUUCUAGUCUCCCAUUCAUAUGCAACCAGGGCAGACCCUGCUUAGCUAAGGGGACAAGUCAUGCUUGCUACCACAAGACCAGCUCUCUUCUCUUGCAAAAGAGAGAAGAGCACAGGAGCCGCAGUCAGAGUCUAUGGCCUCAGGAGCACUUCACCCCAGCCACCACAUGCUUAUUGCAGACACAGACAUACAGUAUGUGGAAUGCCAUCAUGAGUACUGGUUUAUUAAAAGUUGUUCAUUUCAACAGCAUUUAGGAAUGACUGAGUUUCCAUAUCAUGGCACAGAUGAUGGGAGAAACACUUUAGGUUAGUCUUGGCAAGUAGGGAGGCACUAAAUCUUUUAUCAUUCAGGAGGCAAAGACCUGUCUCUUCAGCAGGACCCUUUUUUGGAGCACGGCGGAGGGCUGUUGGGUUUUCAUAAGUAUUGUUAGCUCUGAUUUGAAUUUUGGUUUUUAAAAAAAUAUUAAGUUUUAGCCAUCUCAUUAUCCACUCUGCUGCCUCUUACUGUUUUUCCGAUUAUAUGUUUGCACCAUAUAGACUUCUGUUGUAUCCUAUCUAACCUGUUUUCAGGGGCAGAGCCACCAUUGUGCGAAUGGGUUCAAAGAACUCGGGCCACCAAUGGGAAAGGCUGCUGAAGCCCACAGGGGGGCAUGGCUUGGGCUGAGUGAGCGAGUGAGCUCUCCCCCAUCCAUUUAAGGCGGCAUUUGCUGCCUGACAGCCUUUAUUUCUCUUUCUCUCCCUCCAGUCAGUGAGGGAGAGAAAGACAAAUAAAUGCUGUCAGGCAGCAAGCGCUACCUGACAUGGACAGGGGUGAGCCCAAGCCACGCUCCCGGGGCGUCACUAGAGGGGCUGCCAGGCAGGGCUGGACACAGGCUGCUGUUCACCUGGCUCCGCACUUGUUUGUCUCAGUAGGGAUCCUGUAGAGUGUGUGGUGGGUGGGAUCAGAAAGAGAGAGAGAGGGAAAGGAGAAGGAAAUGGAGUUGUUUCUUAACAGAGUUCUUGGUUAAAGCUGCAUAAGUUCUUUUGUGUUUACAAGAGAAGCAGUUAUAAAACAUUUGGCGAUGAGAUUUUGAACCAGCUGCACACGUGAGCUUGUGAAAACCCUCCCCUCUUCACCUCUUUGCAUUACUGGGCCUAAUAACCGAACUGCUGCAUUCUACCAUUGCUGCUGCUGAUGGUUUCUCCAGCUUCCUGACCUGCACAACCCCUGAAGGUACUUUUCUCUCUUAUCAGCCCAGGACUCUGUUGUUCAUUGGAUGCCUACUGCAGCAUGGCUCAAAUCCCACCACCAUCUUUUUCCCCCUGUCCACCCCCCACCAGAACUUGCUCUUCCCUGGAAACAAUGGAGGUCCUAUUUCUGCAAUUUUAGAUUGUGAGCCCUUUGGGGGCAGGGAUCCAUCUUAUUUAUUUAUUUGUUUAUUUAUUUAUUUAUUUAUUUAUUUUUUCCUCUGUGUAAACCAGCCUGAGCCAUUUUUGGAAGGGUGGCAUAGAAAUCAAAUAAAUAAUAAUAAUAACCUCCUUA